rnacentral:lncRNA from 1 species
AUGGAGUCACGUCUUCCUUUGGCUACCUUUAAUCUAUACACACUGAACCCUUUCAUAAUGACUUUGUUAGAUUUUGAUCAUGACCAUUCUUGGGUACAGGAUCCUGCCCAGUCCCCUACUGCUGAUCCACAAGGUUCUUUGUCAGAGCUGCCAGCCUCGUGUGGAUAUUUCAGAGGAUUUGUCAAAUGGUGUUCAUUGUUUCUAUUAAUGCAGCUGAGUUGCACCGAGAACGUCCACUUUAAUAUUAGUCUUCUGAGUAAGUGCACAGAGGCAUUAUCCAAGCCAGAGAAGGAUCCAACCACACCCUGCAGAGCUGAGGCUGCACAUACAUGCAAAACUACUUGUGUGGAUGUGACUGCAGAGAAUUUAAUGCUAAAGACCUGGGAAAACAGAGUUGGGGUGUGCCCAGUGUGGCUUGGCAAUAACAGAUGUGGAAGUUUGAAAUUGCAUUCCAUGGUCCUGUGCCACAUUUCAUCAGCGUUUUUCCUUUGCUUUCUCCAAAGACUGGCCACAUGUGGUGUGUAG